AUACGGAGGGUGCAAGCGUUACUCGGAAUCACUGGGCGUAAAGCGCGCGCAGGCGGUCUGUUAAGUUGGAUGUGAAAGCCUACGGCUCAACCGUAGAACUGCAUCCAAAACUAGUAGACUAGAGUGUGGGAGAGGAAGAUGGAAUUAGUUGUGUAGGGGUAAAAUCCGUAGAGAUAACUAGGAAUACCAAAAGCGAAGGCAAUCUUCUGGAACACUACUGACGCUGAGGCGCGAAAGCGUGGGGAGCAAACAGGAUUAGAAACCCUAGUAGUCC
rnacentral:rRNA from 1 species